UGGAACAGAAAAUGGAAAUGCUUCAAAGAAGUGUAAAAGUUGUUUGAAGGAAUCCAUUUCGAAACGUGUAAAUUCCAUGGAAAGAAUUAGGAAAAUGGGUGGGACAAAUCCUUCUCGCCAAAGGCAACUAAUGAUGUACAGAGCUUCUGUCUUAAAUGAACAUCAUGACCAACACAUUAUUGUUUUGUCGUUCUCAAGACAUGCAAAAGGCUAUACCACUCACUUACACGGCACUCCUGGACCAGCUGCCAAGUUUCUUACUGAGACAGAGUAUGGAAAAAUAACAGAAAAGCUUUUUGACAAUUUCAUGCGACGGGAGAUGGAAGUGGAAGAAAUGAGCCAUAAAAGUGUUGGUCAAACACACGCUAACACAUUGGACGAAUUUUCCCAGUCAAGUUCUUCAACCUUAGCUGACAACAAGUGUGAAAUCCCACUACAACACCAACAAAAACCCGAACAAUCCCAACGAAAACCCACACAAGGCAAACGUACACCAUAACGACAACAGCCAAAACUCCAAAAACGCUAACAAAAACCCUGUUUACAACGGCAAAGAAAACCCAAACAGCGUCGUCAAAAACGCUUGCAACAUCAAUGAAAAGCCGAACAACGUCAACGAAAUUUUUAACCAAACGAAGAAAAACGCUAAUGAUACAAACGAAAACACAAUUAUUACAAUCGGAUGCACUGAUGUUAAUGACAUUGCUGAGACUAUCGAGAGUAAUGGUAACAAUACUAACGAAGAGCAACAGUAUUUUCAAAAGUUUUGUAGCUACGACAAACCUGAUGAAGAUGAAGAACCAGUUUCGAAGAGCCCGAAAAUUUUAACGUCCACUCAAAGUAUUUAUCAGAAGAAAGUUAAAAUAGGCGAAGGCUCAAAGUUAGUGGUUUUUAAUGAAGACAAGAUACCUCAAGCUUUAUGCACAUUAUUUUCUAUGAAAACUUUGCACAACCGCCCUGUACCAAAAAGUCAUGUUGGCAUAGUCAUUGAUUACGUCAUGCCAAACUGUAAACUCAAGCCAG